GUUACCCAAACCGUGGGUAAAUCAAUUCCCCCAUCUGCUCUCUCUCUAGCGAGAAGAGAGACCUACCGUCUUCUCACUGCUCUCAUUGACCUCCAAUUCCACCCACCAAUGGCACGGCCGCGGCCACAGGUCGCCACCACCACUGACGUCUUGAUCCUAUUUCUCGUGGCCGAGGUCGUUUCCUCUGGCGAAGCAACCACCAUCGUCCUCCGACCACCCCACGGCAGCAGCAAUCGCCACACCAUGUUCCUCCCCCUUUCUCUCUCCUCCUCCUAGCAACUCUUCUCCCUCCGUCCGCCGCCAGAUUCAGGGAUCCGACCCUCUCCACCCUAACGCCCGCAUGCUCCUCUAUGACGAUCUCCUUCUCAACGGUUUUGGCCAAAAAGAUGAAUAGCGAAGAUAAUGCACACUACAAUCAGUUGUUUUAUUGGGUCAUAAUCAGUACCAAUUAUAUGAGGGGCACUGCUUUCAUGGGUAUCUGUGAAGGGAAAUUCAUGGAUCAGCAUUACUGCUUCACAACCUGCAUACUUGCACAGAUAGGCCUACUUUGUUUCUCGUAUUCCUCUUUUUAUUUUUUAUUGUGUGUGAGAAUUAGCAUAAGGUCCCUCAAACAGUUUCACGUUGACACGUAUUCCCUCUAUUAAUUGUUUGACAUGUACAACGUAUUUGAGACGUGGUCUAAAUGCCUCAACUUUUGUUCUUUGGACCUCCACCUUUUCAUAUUUUUUAUUGCAAUUUUACCCAAGUGAACUAUUACUAAGGACUCAAUUCUGUGGGCACCUUUAUUUUUUAUUUUUUGGUUUAUAUGCUAUUUUGUUACAAAUUGAACCAUUAAAUUUAAUGAUUUCCAUUGAUAUCCAGUAUGGAGUUCUGGCUUUAAAUUUAUGCAUACCCCUUGACUGUGGUGCAUUCUUGUUAUUUUGACUUUGCUUAUACAUUUUUCAGGAUUCAGAUGCUUUUAUUCAGAAAAGGGCCCUUGAACUUGUGUAUCUUUUUGUAAAUGAAAGCAAUGUAAAGUCUCUGACAAAACAGCUUAUUGAAUAUCUGGAAGUAAGUGAUCAAGAUUUCAAGGGAGAUCUUGCUGCCAAAAUUUGCUCCAUUGUUGAAAAGUUUUCCACGAAAAAAAUUUGGUACAUUGAUCAGAUGCUCAAGGUUCUCUCUGAGAUGGUUUUUGACGUACAAAUGUGGAUAUGACUUUUUUUGACAAGUACGGAAGGCUAUUAUUUUUAUAUCUCCAUCCGUAUAGACAUACAAAUUAGUUUUUUGGCGUGGUAAAUAUCCAAAUUUGGCCCGAUAGAAAUUAGCAUUGGACGUGGUACAAAUUAGUUUUUGGGGCGGUACAGAAUAAAUUUUUGGUGUGAUAUAGAUUUCCUUUUGGAUAUUAAAUUUGGUUGAUCCUCUAUUAUGUAUGAAAUUAAAUUAUUGGGGUUGAAUUAUACCUGGUUCGUAUGGAAUUUGUAUUACAUUUAGAAUUGGACGUUGAAUAUAAAUAUUUUGGAUGGUUGGAAAUGAAAUUAAAAAAAUAAAAUAAAAAAAUUAAUAUAGUAUUUGGUGACUAAAUAUGUUGGUAGCCAAAAAUGUAAGCAAAUGUUUUGGCGACCAAUAAUUUAGUAGCAAAAAAUAACCAAAUGGCUUUUUGUGACCAAACCACAUAGUAGUUAAAACAAAUCAGAAUGAGGGAAGUUUAGUUGCCGACUAAAUAUUUUAGUCACUAAAAACAUGACAUCCUUUGGCGACUGAAGUAUUUGGUUGCUAAAUGUGCGUAUUCUGUUAGCGACUAAAAUUUUAGUCUCUAAUAGUUUAAUUUAGUUUUCUGUGAGAACUUUUGGCGACAAAUAUUUUAGUCGCCAAAAGAUACCUUUGCCGACUAACCAAAGUUUAGUAGCUAAAAGUUGAAUUUCGGCGACCAAAAAUAGUUUAGUCACCAAUACUAUCAUCGACAGGGUAUAGGCGACGAACUUGGUGACAAAAAAAUUUAGUCGCUAAUUAUAUUUGGCGACCAAAAAUGGGACUUUUGGCAACCAAUAUUUUGGUCGCCAAACCUGUCUUUUCCUGUAGUGUAAACCAAUAGUGUUCCGAAAGGAUUCCAUUGCAUCAUGCAAUAGCAAGUGUAAUGAUUUUUCUUUUUUUUUUUAAAUUUAAAAUAAUUUUAAGGGUUAAUUACACUUUUCACUCUUAUAAUUUGAUCCAAAUUUCACUUUGAUCCCAAUAGUUUCAAUUUGAACAAGUUGAUCUCUACACUUUAAAUCCAGUUUCAAUUUGAUCUUUCUGUCAAAAUUGGAAUAAUUUUGGGAUACUUGUCAAUUUUUUAAAGUUUCAAUUUGGUCAUUCUAUCUAAAUUGGAGAUUACAAUUAACAAUUUUGGGAUACUUGUCAAUUUUCUAAUGUGUAUAUAUAGACAAAUUAACAAAAAUUUAGAUAGGAGGACCAAAUUGAAACUAGAUUUAAAGUGUAGGGAUUAAAUUAUUCAAAUUAAAACUAUAAGGACUAAAGUGAAAUUUAAAUCAAAUUACAUGGAUGAAAAGUGUAAUUAACCCUAACAAUAAAUAUGCAUUUCUAUUUCAUAGUCAUUAGAUAUACAAUGAAAAUCUUUCAUUACAAACAUGUAAUAGAGAAGGGAUCAAAGUCCUUAUCAAAAUAUGUGUCUUGUUUCUCUUUAAUUUUUCAUAUUUUAAUUUUGUCAAUUUAAUACUCAAACAACAAAAUGUGAGUUUAAAUGGUCAACUGUACUCAUGCCGUCCAAAUUGAUUAACGGAAAUUGAGGUAUUUUUAUAAUAUUGCAUGACGGCUCAAAGAGAAUUGAAAAUACAAAAUAUACCCAUGAUCUCAAAGUAUUCACUUCGUUAUGUUUUGGAAUCUAAAGUAUACAUUUUGUUAAUUUUCA